CGUAGGGUGCAAGCGUUAAUCGGAAUUACUGGGCGUAAAGCGUGCGCAGGCGGUUAUGUAAGACAGAGGUGAAAUCCCCGGGCUCAACCUGGGAACUGCCUUUGUGACUGCAUAGCUAGAGUACGGCAGAGGGGGAUGGAAUUCCGCGUGUAGCAGUGAAAUGCGUAGAUAUGCGGAGGAACACCGAUGGCGAAGGCAAUCCCCUGGGCCUGUACUGACGCUCAUGCACGAAAGCGUGGGGAGCAAACAGGAUUAGAUACCCUGGUAGUCCACGCCCUAAACGAUGUCAACUGGUUGUUGGGUCUUCACUGACUCAGUAACGAAGCUAACGCGUGAAGUUGACCGCCUGGGGGAGUACGGCCGCAAGGUUG
rnacentral:rRNA from 1 species